GGAAUCUUGCGCAAUGGGCGAAAGCCUGACGCAGCAACGCCGCGUGGGGGAUGAAGGCCUUCGGGUUGUAAACCCCUUUCGGGAGGGAAGAAAUUGACGGUACCUCCAAAAGAAGCACCGGCCAACUACGUGCCAGCAGCCGCGGUAAUACGUAGGGUGCGAGCGUUAUCCGGAAUCAUUGGGCGUAAAGAGCUCGUAGGCGGUUUGUCGCGUCUGCUGUGAAAUUCCGAGGCUCAACCUCGGGCUUGCAGUGGGUACGGGCAGACUAGAGUGCGGUAGGGGAGAUUGGAAUUCCUGGUGUAGCGGUGGAAUGCGCAGAUAUCAGGAGGAACACCGAUGGCGAAGGCAGAUCUCUGGGCCGUAACUGACGCUGAGGAGCGAAAGGGUGGGGAGC
rnacentral:rRNA from 1 species